UACGAAGGGGGCGAGCGUUGUUCGGAGUCACUGGGCGUAAAGCGUACGUAGGCGGAUUGUUAAGUCAGGGGUUAAAUACCGAGGCUUAACCGUGGGGCUGCCUUUGAUACUGGCCGUCUAGAGUCCGGGAGAGGUGAGUGGAAGUGCGAGUGUAGAGGUGAAAUGCGUAGAUAUUCGCAAGAACACCAGUGGCGAAGGCGGGCAACUGGCCCGGAACUGACGCUGAGGUGCGAAAGCGUGGGGAGCGAACAGG
rnacentral:rRNA from 1 species